GCCUAGUCCUGAGGGAAGAGAGAGAAAAAAGAACUGUAAUGUUUUUGGAGUCUUCACGUCUAUAGCAUGUGAGUUAUUUGAUGACACACUCCCCUGGUAGGAGUCUUGCUCCCAUAUUCCUCUUCCUGUUCAUCAUCACGUAUCUACACACAAGCAAGUGUAGGACAGGUCUCCUGUCCUGUCUGGCUUUUGCCAUACCCUUGGGUGCUCUGACCUCAUAAUUCCUGCUUUAGCCCUGAGUACACGAGAUGGGAGAAUAGAAGGGGAGCCCACAGGCCUCGCCUGGGCAUCCUGCCCCAGGCCUUCAGGAGGAGCAGCAUCACCUUCCAGUUGGAUUUUCGUGUUCCUUACAAACUCCCACAAUACCGAGGGUCUUCUCAGAAGGAUUCGCUGGUGCUGCUAAUUACAGCCUCUCUGCACUGCAAUCAAACUGCCUACUCCUACGUUGCAUUUUCCUGCUUGGCCUGCCUGUCUCUGCCUCCCUUCCACGUGGCCCCACUGGUCCAGGCACUGUGGCUCUUGUCCUGCAGGUAAUUUCUUCUGAAGCCAGCUGGCCUAGCACUUGCAAACCCAGCCCUACAAAAAGCGCUCCGUGCAGAACCUUGGUCCAUCCUGCCCCACAAAGCUUGAUAAUGAAUUGGAAAUUACUUCGUUUUAAUGUCUUGACCUCAAGGCUCAAAGAGAGAUCUGGCAGCAGCCCCAUAGCAGAACCCAAGUGGGAAACAUUUUGCUGCUAUGGUGUACUCGAAGAAUUUCUUCAGGCAGCACAAGGUGAGUUUUAUGGACCAAAAAACUCUGUCAAAGCAGGGGUGAAAUAUAAACAAAUGAGGAAAUAAGUAUGUCUACUCCCUCCUUUAUCAUGCAGGUAGUACAAUAAAAGCAGUGGUCCUACAGGAAAAAGCUGAUGC
rnacentral:lncRNA from 1 species